CCUACGGGAGGCAGCAGUGAGGAAUAUUGGUCAAUGGACGAGAGUCUGAACCAGCCAAGUAGCGUGAAGGAUGACUGCCCUAUGGGUUGUAAACUUCUUUUAUAAAGGAAUAAAACGACGCACGUGUGCCUUUUUGCAUGUACUUUAUGAUUAAGGAUCGGCUAAAUCAGUUCCAUCAGCCGCGGUAAUACGGUGGAUCCGAGCGUUAUCCGGAUUUAUUGGGUUUAAAGGGAGCGUAGAUGGGUUGUUAAGUCAGUUGGGAAAGUUUGGGGCUCAACCGUAAAAUUGCAAUUGAUACUGGCAGUCUAGAGUACAGUAGAGGUAGGCGGAAUUCGAGGUGUAGCGGUGAAAUGCGUAGAUAUAACGAAGAACACCGAUGGCGAAGGCAGCUUACUAAACUGUGACUGACAUUGAUGGUCGAAAGUGUGGGUAGCAAACAGGAUUAGAUACCCCGGUAGUC
rnacentral:rRNA from 1 species